UACGAAGGGGGCUAGCGUUGCUCGGAAUCACUGGGCGUAAAGGGUGCGUAGGCGGGUCUUUAAGUCAGAGGUGAAAUCCUGGAGCUCAACUCCAGAACUGCCUUUGAUACUGAGGAUCUUGAGUAUGGGAGAGGUGAGUGGAACUGCGAGUGUAGAGGUGAAAUUCGUAGAUAUUCGCAAGAACACCAGUGGCGAAGGCGGCUCACUGGCCCGGUACUGACGCUGAGGUGCGAAAGCGUGGGGAGCAAACAGG
rnacentral:rRNA from 1 species